rnacentral:rRNA from 1 species
CCUACGGGAGGCAGCAGUGAGGAAUAUUGGUCAAUGGACGAGAGUCUGAACCAGCCAAGUAGCGUGAAGGAUGACUGCCCUAUGGGUUGUAAACUUCUUUUAUAAAGGACUAAAACGAGGCACGUGUGCCUUUUUGCAUGUACUUUAUGAAUAAGCACCGGCUAACUCCGUGCCAGCAGCCGCGGUAAUACGGAGGGUCCGCGCGUUAACCGGAAUUACUGGGCGUACAGGGCUCGUAGGCGGUAGGUCAAGUCAAGGGUGAAAUCCCCGGGCUAAACGGGGGAACUGCCUUUGAACCUGGCGAACUGGCGUGUGUGCGCGGAGAGUGGAAUGCCAGGUGUAGGAGUGAAAUCCGUAGAUAUCUGAAGGAACAUCAGUGGCGAAGGCGACUAUCUGGCACAUAACUGACGCUGAGGAGCGAAAGCGUGGGUAGCAAACAGGAUUAGAUACCCUUGUAGUC